GAAUAAUGGAUGUAAUACCAAAUCUAGAAUAAAGUGAUUGUCGAUCCAAAUACGAUAUUGAACAAGAAAAAAAUAAAUAGUUUUAGAUUCCUCCACCACACCACAUAGCACAAGAAUGAUGGUCUUGUAUUCCUAAGACACAUCUCUUACCCAAUGAGAAGUGAGUUAUUUAUUAGCCAAAUAUUCUAUUCUUCUUAUGGCUAGAUCCAAUCUCCCGGUCCCUACAAAAAGGAAAAAGAAUUUCACAUUCUUCCUUUCAAGGAAGGAGGAUUAGGAAAAUCAUUUUGAUUGUAAUUUUCUGUCGACCCCAAAAAAGCAUGAAGAAAAGGCUCAAAUGAUACAAUCCCACCAUCACCCAAAAAGAAAGG
rnacentral:lncRNA from 1 species